rnacentral:sRNA from 2 species
CUAAAAAACAGGCCGAAUCCAGUUCAGCACAAGAGCUGGUACGGGGGAUUAUUUCAAUGGGGUGAAUGUUCGAGUGUCUGCGAACUAGGGAAGCCUCUUCCCGAAUCCGUCAACUAACCUCGAAGGCCGCAGGAGGAAUU